GACGAACGCUGGCGGCGUGCUUAACACAUGCAAGUCGAACGGAAAGGCCCUGCUUUUGUGGGGUGCUCGAGUGGCGAACGGGUGAGUAACACGUGAGUAACCUGCCCUUGACUUUGGGAUAACUUCAGGAAACUGGGGCUAAUACCGGAUAGGAGCUCCUGCUGCAUGGUGGGGGUUGGAAAGUUUCGGCGGUUGGGGAUGGACGCGCGGCUUAUCAGCUUGUUGGUGGGGGAGGGGCUUACCAAGGCUUUGACGGGUAGCCGGCCUGAGAGGGUGACCGGCCACAUUGGGACUGAGAUACGGCCCAGACUCCUACGGGAGGCAGCAGUGGGGAAUAUUGCACGAUGGACGGAAGCAUGAUGCAGCAACGCCGCGUGCGGGAUGACGGCCUUCGGGUUGUAGACCGCUUUCGCCUGUGACGAAGCGUGAGUGACGGUAAUGGGUAAAGAAGCACCGGCUAACUACGUG
rnacentral:rRNA from 1 species